UUGAGGUGGGCACCUGCAGGCUUCCAGCUUCGGUGACAGCGAUGUGUCCAGUUUGGCAGGUGGAGAACUAAUUCACUAAAUAUGGUGGAUAUAAGUGACUUUUUGCGUGGCCGAGGGGUCCCCGAAGAUGCUAUUUUAUUAAUGGAAGAGCAGAAGAUUGACUGUGACGUCAUAGCGCUGAUGGAUGACGCAACUUUGGCAAACUACAUUCCCUCGUACGGAGACCAAAUUGCCGUCUUCAAUUUCUGCAAAAGCAAGCAACCACUGUCAAAAAGAAAACUAGGACUUCUGCAAAAAGUUCACCUCUCAAAGUGAGAGAAACAGUGGCUGACAUGUCAGAUUUGGAUGACUUAAUAAGACUGUAUUUCAGACUUUCUUUCAGUAACAAAGAAAUACUUUCAAUUUUAGCACAUAGUCAUCAGACAAUUAUAAGUGUUCGAACUCUAAAGAGAAUUUGUAAAAGACUUGGGCUUUUUAGAAGGAAGAAUCAAUCAAACUUGGAGGAGUGCUAGCCUUUGUCCAACAAGAGAUCAUGACAAAUGGACAGAUGCAAGGUUAUCGUUGGCUACAUCUACGUGCAAUUCAACAUGGAUUUGUGGUGUCACAAGAUACUGUAAGAUGCAUAAUCAAAUUGCUUGACCCUCAAGGUGUGGAACUGAGACGAGCUCGACGGUUGAGAAGAUGACAGUACAGCUGCAGAGGGCCAAAUGCUCUCUGGCACAUGGAUGGCUAUGACAAGUUGAAACCAUAUGGUAUUGCUAUCAGUGGCUGCAUAGAUGGUUUUAGCCGCUAUGUUUUAUGGAUGGAGGCUUAUACUACAGACAGUGACCCUAAAUUGAUUGCAAGUUAUUUUCUGAAAACAGUUUCAUGCAUCAGCGGAUGUCCAGAAAGGUUACGUGCUGACCGAGGUACCGAAAAUGGUUGUGUUGAACAAAUGCAGAUGUUUUUACGGAGAAACCACACAGACAGUUUUGCAGGUGAGAAAAGUUUCCUUUACGGAAGAAGUACGGCCAACCAACGUAUAGAAGGAUGGUGGGCUACCCUACGCAAACAGAGUGCACAAUUUUGGAUGAACUUAUUUCAAACUUUUCAGGAUGAUGGCCACUUCACAGGGGAUUUUUUGGACAAAAGUCUUAUCCAAUUCUGCUUUCUCAAUCUUAUUCAGGAUGAACUUGAUGAAGUUGUGAACACAUGGAACUCGCACAAAAUCCGGCCAAGUGGUAGUGCAGCAUCGGGUCGACCAGUAGUAAUGUACUCAUUUCCAGAGCUGCACAGUGCUGAGGAUAGACUGAAGCCUAUUUCUAUGGAGGAUAUCACUUUGUGUAUGGAAGAGU